rnacentral:rRNA from 1 species
UGGGGAAUAUUGCACAAUGGGGGGAACCCUGAUGCAGCGACGCCGCGUGAGUGAAGAAGUAUCUCGGUAUGUAAAGCUCUAUCAGCAGGGAAGAAAAUGACGGUACCUGACUAAGAAGCCCCGGCUAACUACGUGCCAGCAGCCGCGGUAAUACGUAGGGGGCAAGCGUUAUCCGGAAUUACUGGGUGUAAAGGGUGCGUAGGCGGCUUUGCAAGUCAGAUGUGAAAUCUAUGGGCUCAACCCAUAAACUGCGUUCAAAACUGUUGUUCUUGAGUGAAGUAGAGGUAGGCGGAAUUCCUAGUGUAGCGGUGAAAUGCGUAGAUAUUAGGAGGAACACCAGUGGCGAAGGCGGCCUACUGGGCACCAACUGACGCUGAGGCUCGAAAGUGUGGGUAGCAAACAGGAUUAGAUACCCUGGUAGUCCACACUGUAAACGAUGAUUACUAGGUGUUGGAGGAUUGACCCCUUCAGUGCCGCAGUUAACACAAUAAGUAAUCCACCUGGGGAGUACGACCGCAAGGUUGAAACUCAAAGGAAUUGACGGGGGCCCGCACAAGCAGUGGAGUAUGUGGUUUAAUUCGACGCAACGCGAAGAACCUUACCAAGUCUUGACAUCCUGCGACGGUGCUGGAAACAGUACUUUCCUUCGGGACGCAGAGACAGGUGGUGCAUGGUUGUCGUCAGCUCGUGUCGUGAGAUGUUGGGUUAAGUCCCGCAACGAGCGCAACCCUUAUGGUCAGUUACUACGCAAGAGGACUCUGGCCAGACUGCCGUUGACAAAACGGAGGAAGGUGGGGAUGACGUCAAAUCAUCAUGCCCUUUAUGACUUGGGCUACACACGUACUACAAUGGCGUUAAACAAAGAGAAGCAAGACCGCGAGGUGGAGCAAAACUCAGAAACAACGUCCCAGUUCGGACUGCAGGCUGCAACUCGCCUGCACGAAGUCGGAAUUGCUAGUAAUCGCAGAUCAGCAUGCUGCGGUGAAUACGUUCCC